UGUAGUCCUAAAACCCGGAAAUUAGUUAUCUCUGGUUCGUUCAGCCACAUUUUCUAAACCCAGAAGGCCACACAUUGCGAGACUUCCGGGAACGUUUGCGAAGUAGACUCGGGAGACCAGACCUGGGUUUGAGAACUGAAUGAGAGAAGUGGACAAUUCUUUCAUAGUUAUUCAUUUUCUCGAAAUCUAAAGAAACAACCUAGAUAACCAAUGUGUGUGCCUGAGUCUUAUCACCUCUCAACUAGGUAAUCUGUUUCAACCUGGAACACUGUGCUCCUGCUUUGGUCUGUUUCGGUCAUUGCAGGAAGUCCUGAAGAGCAGGAGUGUGCGAAUGGUUUUGUCCCAGCCCAGCUCUUACACCAGACUUAAAUAAUCAUCAUAACGAAUCACCGCGAUAGGCCUUGAUUUGUAAUCAGGUAUAAGCUGGGCUGGAACAAAAGUGUAUACUGUACACACUCCUGCUAUUCAUAUCUGGAGCCGUCCACCUCUUUAAGUCAUUAUUCUGUACUAUGGGUACAGCUGAACUUGUUGACUGAUACCAAGGCGGCGGAUGUUAAGAAGAAGGGAGAAGACUGCAGCCAAGGCAGCACUGGUCCACACCUGCCCUGUCUUGUCAGUAGAUGCAGACCCGAAGACAUUCAAGCAGCACUUUGAGAGCAAGCAUUCCAAGUCUCCAAUGGUCCCAGUACUGGUUGAUGUGUAGGUCUAAGUGACCACACACACUGAAAUGGACCUACAGCUGGGAGACACACGAUGACCACGAUUUGAAUGACAUUGAGGGACACUCUGAGACCCCGAGAAUGACUGGACAUGGGCCGGAUAUUUGUGACAAUGAUUUAAAAGGGGUGUAGAAGAACACCAGCACCCCAUUUUAUGUUUAUUCCACAGCCAACCAUUCCUCUACCUACCCCUUAUUCCACACUGCCUUUUAUGCCCCAUGGUCCCUCAACUUCUAAUGUUUUGGAACUCUCCAUCUUAUCUCUAUAAACCCACCUUACCGUCACCCAUUUUCCCUAUGCUGCUUCCUUAAUUACAUUUUUUAUAUUUUUUUUAUAUCCGAAACAUACAAUAUAGUUGCAGUGAAGCCGCUCAACAACUACAUCAUCCAACAGACUCCCAUUCAGAGCGACUCACAGAAGCAUCCAGGGUCAAUGCCCUGCUCAAGGGCACGUUGACAGAUUUCCCACCAAGCCAAAAAACUGAACCCGAACAAUCCAAGAUCCCCCCCCCCACAGUUCCCCAACCAAUAGCUGUCCCUCAACCAUUCGAGACCCCUCCCACAGUCCC